rnacentral:rRNA from 1 species
CAAUGAGCUCCCAUGGCAGUGGAUCACUUGGCUUGUGGGUCGAUGACGACCGGGGUAAAACCCGAGAACGU